rnacentral:rRNA from 1 species
CCUACACGACCGUACCGCAAACCGACACUGGUGCGCGAGAUGAGUAUUCUAAGGCGCUUGAGAGAACUCAGGAGAAGGAACUCGGCAAAUUGACACCGUAACUUCGGAAGAAGGUGUGCCUUUAGUAGGUGAAGGGAUUUACUCCCGGAGCCCAAUGAGGUUGCAAAAAAUCGGUGGCUGCGACUGUUUAAUAAAAACACAGCACUCUGCAAACACGAAAGUGGACGUAUAGGGUGUGACGCCUGCCCGGUGCUGGAAGAUUAAAUGAUGGGGUGCAAGCUCUUGAUUGAAGUCCCAGUAAACGGCGGCCGUAACGAUAACGGUCCUAAGGUAGCGAAAUUCCUUGUCGGGUAAGUUCCGACCUGCACGAAUGGCGUAACGAUGGCCACACUGUCUCCUCCUGAGACUCAGCGAAGUUGAAAUGUUUGUGAUGAUGCAAUCUCCCCGCGGAAAGACGGAAAGACCCCAUGAACCUUUACUGUAGCUUUGUAUUGGACUUUGAACAGAUCUGUGUAGGAUAGGUGGGAGGCUUUGAAGCAGGGUCGCUAGAUCUUGUGGAGCCAACGUUGAAAUACCACCCUGGUGUGUUUGAGGUUCUAACCUAGGUCCAUUAUCUGGAUCGGGGACAGUGCAUGGUAGGCAGUUUGACUGGGGCGGUCUCCUCCCAAAGCGUAACGGAGGAGUUCGAAGGUACGCUAGGUACGGUCGGACAUCGUGCUAAUAGUGCAAUGGCAUAAGCGUGCUUAACUGCGAGACUGACAAGUCGAGCAGAUGCGAAAGCAGGACAUAGUGAUCCGGUGGUUCUGUAUGGAAGGGCCAUCGCUCAACGGAUAAAAGGUACUCUGGGGAUAACAGGCUGAUACCGCCCAAGAGUUCAUAUCGACGGCGGUGUUUGGCACCUCGAUGUCGGCUCAUCUCAUCCUGGGGCUGUAGCCGGUCCCAAGGGUAUGGCUGUUCGCCAUUUAAAGAGGUACGUGAGCUGGGUUUAAAACGUCGUGAGACAGUUUGGUCCCUAUCUUCCGUGGGCGCUGCAGAUUUGAGGAAGCCUGCUCCUAGUACGAGAGGACCGGAGUGGACACACCUCUGGUGUAUCGGUUGUCACGCCAGUGGCAUUGCCGAGUAGCUAAGUGUGGAAGAGAUAACCGCUGAAAGCAUCUAAGCGGGAAACUCGUUUCAAGAUGAGAUCUGCCGGGGCCUUGAGCCCCCUAAAGAGUCGUUCAAGACCAGGACGUUGAUAGGUCAGGUGUGGAAGCGCAGUAAUGCGUUAAGCUAACUGAUACUAAUUGCUCAUGAGGCUUGACCAA